rnacentral:rRNA from 1 species
AUUGAACGCUGGCGGUAGGCCUAACACAUGCAAGUCGAACGGCAGCACAGUAAGAGCUUGCUCUUACGGGUGGCGAGUGGCGGACGGGUGAGGAAUACAUCGGAAUCUACUUUUUCGUGGGGGAUAACGUAGGGAAACUUACGCUAAUACCGCAUACGACCUACGGGUGAAAGCAGGGGAUCUUCGGACCUUGCGCGAUUGAAUGAGCCGAUGUCGGAUUAGCUAGUUGGCGGGGUAACGGCCCACCAAGGCGACGAUCCGUAGCUGGUCUGAGAGGAUGAUCAGCCACACUGGAACUGAGACACGGUCCAGACUCCUACGGGAGGCAGCAGUGGGGAAUAUUGGACAAUGGGCGCAAGCCUGAUCCAGCCAUACCGCGUGGGUGAAGAAGGCCUUCGGGUUGUAAAGCACUUUUGUUGGGAAAGAAAAGCAGCAGGUUAAUACCCCGCUGUUCUGACGGUACCCAAAGAAUAAGCACCGGCUAACUUCGUG